rnacentral:ncRNA from 1 species
AAAUUAUUUCUGGUUUUUUAUUUAUUAUAUGUUUGAAUUAUAUGUAAAUUUUAUAAAAAUUAUAAUAAAAUUUUAAAAAAAUUUAUUUUUAAAUUUAUAUAAUAAUUAAUUUUAAAUAAAUUUUAAAUAAAUUUAAAUUUAUUAAUAUUAAUUUAAUUUUUAAUGAAAAUUGUGCCAGCAAUUGCGGUUAUACAAUUAAUGAAAGUAAAUAAUAAUUUUAAUUUUUAAAUAGAUAAUAUAAGUUUAAAGUAAUAAAUUUAAUUAAUUAGGUAAAAUUAAAUAAUUAAAAUUAAAAAUUUUUAUAGUUUUUUUAAUUUUUAAAAAAAUUAUAAAUAAAACUAGGAUUAGAUACCCUAUUAUUAAAAUUAAUAAUUAAAAAAUUAAUUUAAUUAGUAAAAUUAAAAAUUUGAAAAUUUAAGAAUUUGACGGUAUUUAAAUCAAUUUAGAGGAAUUUGUUUAAUAAUUGAUAAUCCACAAUUAAAUUUACUUAUUUUAAAAUUUGUAUAUCGUUGUUAUAAAAAUAUUUUUUAAUAAAUAAAAAUAUUUAAAUAUUUAAAUUUAAAAUUAUAUCAAAUCAAGAUACAGUUUAUUGAUAAGAAUUGAAAUGAAUUACAAUAAUAUUUUUAAUUAUAAUAUUAUAUGUUUAAAAUAUUAAUAUUAAAUUGGAUUUAAGUGUAAUUUUUAAUAUUUAUUAUUUAUGAUUGAUGUUUUUAAAUAAGUACAUAUUGCCCGUCGCUCUCUAUUGUAAAUAAAUUUUUAAAUUGAGAUAAGUCGUAACAUAGUAGAAGUAUUGGAAAAUGUUUCUA